rnacentral:rRNA from 1 species
GAUGAACGCUAGCGGCAGGCUUAACACAUGCAAGUCGAGGGGUAUAUGUCUUCGGAUAUAGAGACCGGCGCACGGGUGCGUAACGCGUAUGCAAUCUACCUUUUACAGAGGGAUAGCCCAGAGAAAUUUGGAUUAAUACCUCAUAGUAUAGUGACUCGGCAUCGAGAUACUAUUAAAGUCACAACGGUAAAAGAUGAGCAUGCGUCCCAUUAGCUAGUUGGUAAGGUAACGGCUUACCAAGGCUACGAUGGGUAGGGGUCCUGAGAGGGAGAUCCCCCACACUGGUACUGAGACACGGACCAGACUCCUACGGGAGGCAGCAGUGAGGAAUAUUGGACAAUGGGCGCAAGCCUGAUCCAGCCAUGCCGCGUGCAGGAUGACGGUCCUAUGGAUUGUAAACUGCUUUUGUACGAGAAGAAACACUCCUACGUGUAGGAGCUUGACGGUAUCGUAAGAAUAAGGAUCGGCUAACUCCGUGCCAGCAGCCGCGGUAAUACGGAGGAUCCAAGCGUUAUCCGGAAUCAUUGGGUUUAAAGGGUCCGUAGGCGGUUUAGUAAGUCAGUGGUGAAAGCCCAUCGCUCAACGGUGGAACGGCCAUUGAUACUGCUAAACUUGAAUUAUUAGGAAGUAACUAGAAUAUGUAGUGUAGCGGUGAAAUGCUUAGAGAUUACAUGGAAUACAAAUUGCGAAGGCAGGUUACUACUAAUGGAUUGACG